AUUGAACGCUGGCGGCACGCCUAACACAUGCAAGUCGAGCGGUAACAGGAUGUGUAGCAAUACACAUUGCUGACGAGCGGCGGACGGGUGAGGAACACGUAGGAACCUGCCCUCAAGCGGGGGAUAACUAAUGGAAACGUUAGCUAAUACCGCAUAAUCUCGGAAGAGAAAAGCUACCCGCAAGGGCGGCACUUGAGGAGGGGCCUGCGUCCGAUUAGCUAGUUGGUGAGGUAAUGGCUCACCAAGGCAAUGAUCGGUAACUGGUCUGAGAGGACGACCAGUCACACUGGGACUGAGACACGGCCCAGACUCCUACGGGAGGCAGCAGUGGGGAAUAUUGGACAAUGGGGGCAACCCUGAUCCAGCGAUGCCGCGUGAGUGAAGAAGGCCUUCGGGUCGUAAAGCUCUUUAGGCUGGGAAGAAGUGUAUUAGGUUCAUAGCCUAGUAUGUUGACGGUACCGACAGAAUAAGCACCGGCUAACUCUGUGCCAGCAGCCGCAGUAACAC
rnacentral:rRNA from 1 species